AGGUCGUCGUGCAGUCGAUUCAAAUAGCAGGCAAAGUCUUGUGAUUUGGGUAAGUCUCCGUAACCCUCAACAAACUAUACUCAAAUCCUGUGUGCAAUGCGGCUAGAGUGACAUUAGAAAUCUUAUGUCUACAUAAAUUUUUUAAUGUAUGUGUAACCGCAAUAUUAAUGUGAAUGAGAUCAUAUUAGUUCUAUUUUAUUUUGAGAUCAUAAGAUUUUUAAUGUACGUGUAACCGUAGUAUUAAUCUAGCAACUUUUCGACUCAACUUUGUGUCUCAAUUAGGUAGUUGUAGUUCAGUUAAUGAGCUAAGAGAUACAAAAUAUUUUUAGGAAAAAGCACGGGAAUCAAUUAAGCUCUAGAAAUUACGAUAACCACUAACUUACCGACAUUUUUUAUUUCAACAAAAAAAAUACUAAUAAUUUGUUGAAAACAAAAGAUUGAUCAUGUUUUGUUGUGGUCAGGCUAAACCACUAUUGGAUGCAAAAAAAGUGAAAGAAAUAGCAGAUCCAAGAUUAGAAGAACAAUAUGAUCCAACUGAAAUGAUGCUUGCCAUGGCAACAGCUUCCAUGUGUAUCCACCACAUGUCCUCUAAAAGGCCAUACAUGAGCCAGGUAACAAAAUAAACAUGUUUUUUUUUCCUCUCUUUCACUUUGGUAUUUGCUAUCAUACCCUCAUUUUGUUUUUUUUUAUUUUUUAUUUGUGAACAAUAUAGGUUGUGCUACUAUUGAAAGGAGAAGAGGUGGCUAUGGACCUGACUCAAAAAUCAAUAGCACCAAGGUCACUUUUGUUAGAUGCAUGUGAUUUAGAAGACUAUACUUGUUCUAGUUAUUUGAAUGAUCUCAAUCGCCACAAGGAAUUAAUCAUGGAGUGAUGAUUAUUCAUAUGAUAUUAGAAUUGUGAUCUGUUUGUAAUGUAUGUGUUGAAAAUUUUAUGGAAUGAUAUAAUUUGUUGUAUAGUUGUGGAAAAAGUUGAGAAUCUCACAACAUAAACUUUUGUCUUUAUAUAAUAUUUAGGCUUGUAAAUUGACAUGAACUUGUAAUGAUCAUCAUUAGUCAAGAAGCAAUCAUAGUUUGUUUAUUAGAGUUACAUAUUGUGUUAAUGCAUUUGUCAUAGUUUGUUUAAUAUUGUGUUAAUGUAGAGAUAUUGUAGGAAAAGUGUGUAUGUGUAUAAAUUUUGUUCAAGAAAGUUUGCAAAAUAAAAUACAAUAAUCUUCAAGAUAGAAAGAGAAUAUUAGCUCGGUUUCUACUGUUUUUUUCGGUCAAAUAGUCUAGUGAUUAAAAAUUUCACCUUAAAGUGGAUAAGUGAGAUAACCGGGUUCAAACCUCGACCCUGAAUAUAUAAUGCAUUGUCCCUAACAACUGAUUUAAGCUCAUAAAAAGUUUAUAUGUUUUCUUAUUAAAAAUAACACUUGUUUCAUUAAAUAUAAAGUCGUGUUUUAUUUUAUUUUUGACAGAACAAAGUGAUGGUUUUAUGUUAUGUUAUCUUGGACAUUUAUACAUAGCUUGUAACCAAAAAUAAAAAACAUUUAUACAUAGCCAUUUAAAUUGCAACCCAUAGCAACAAAAUAAAAUAAAAAAAAAGAUUAUGGCUUCAACAGAGGCAAUAAUUCAAUUAGGUAUCUUAAUCCUAACCUUAUCACUCUUCUUCCUCAUGCAUUAUCUCCGAAACCAAACAACCCAAUCCAAAACCCGAACCCGCAAUAAAACCGAACCAAACCGCCACAUAAACCAAGCAUCACGUCACCUGAACCGGGCCCGAUCCACAACAAACAAAGCCCAACACGCUAAAAACGCUCUCGUAGAAGCCGAUCAAGCCCUCUCUCUAACUCCAAGAGAUCCUACCGUUCNNNNNN
rnacentral:lncRNA from 1 species